ACAGCAUUUUUUUAGCAGUCGAUAUGAAUUAAAAGAAAGAGACAAUAACUAACAACUCUACUUUAGGCAACUUUGGCGAAGUGACAGAAAACCCAUUUCAAAAACAAUAAACCCUUUUCACAAAUCAAACACCAAAACAAACCCUAAAAGCACCUGAUUUAUAUCUAAUAUUUGAUUCCACCUCCUCAUCAUUACUAAAGACUAGAGGAUCAGCACAAUAUGGUGACAACCUGUAAAGGAGGACUAGUAAUCGUGCAAGACCAAUCUAAGCAAGAGACUAGAGCCGAUCGGCUCAGUGACAUUAUCAAUCGGCUAUUCAUGGAUUUUUGCCUUAAUUUAUGAAUUUUUUACCCUUUUGGUGAUUUGUGUACUUUGUAACCUAAAAUAGUUAUUUUUUAAGUUUAUUAGUUGUAUGAAAGAUUAUAUUAGCUAGAUUUACUUCUUCUUUUUUUUUGCUUAUUUUGGAUAUAUGGCAAAUAUUUGAUUACUUGAUUGCUAAUAAAAAUUGGAAACAUAGACAUAGGCCUUAAAUAUUUUAAAUAUUUAAUAAACAAGUUAUUAACUUAAUAUCUACACCUAAUAAACAAAUAACAAGUCACAAUUUUUUUCUCAUUUUUCUUAAUUUUUUUUUAUAAACAUUAUACAAUGUUUUACAAUAUUAUUUUUUCUCUCUAUAUAUAAUAAAUUAAAUCUAUAUAUUUGUUAUUUUUUUGAGUGUUUUAUUUGAAAAUAAUUACUUUUAAGUUUUUGUUCUUGAACAUUCAGAUCUAUAUAUUGUGGAUUUUUCAUAUCUGUGUUGUAGCAGUGCUGUCAAUGAAAUGGGAGUAGGAGCAGUUUGUCUUCUUUUUAGAUCUAGCUUUUACAGAAAUUUGAUGGACUCUAACCUUUUUUCACGCUGAUUGUGUUGUUGCAGGUAUUCUUCUUGGUUUUUCAAAGUUAAUGUAGUGAAGAAAGGAAGAAGAAGAUUUGGUGUUAAAGGUUGAAGAUGGAUGUUUUCUUGUUGAGUGAAUAUUGUUACAGCUUUAGUUCUUAUUGUUUGGAAGUUUAUUGAGUGAAAGAAGGAAGGAGUACAAGUUU